UACGUAGGGGGCAAGCGUUGUCCGGAUUUAUUGGGCGUAAAGAGCGUGUAGGCGGCCAGGUAGGUCAGCUGUGAAAACUCGAGGCUCAACCUCGAGACGCCGGUUGAAACCAUCUGGCUAGAGUCCGGAAGAGGAGAGUGGAAGUUCCUGGUGUAGCGGUGAAAUGCGCAGAUAUCAGGAAGAACACCCGUGGCUAAGGCGGCUCUCUAGUACGGUACUGACGCUGAGACGCGAAAGCGUGGGGAGCGAACAGG
rnacentral:rRNA from 1 species